UGAGGGAUAUUGCACAAUGGGGGAAACCCUGAUGCAGCGACGCCGCGUGGGUGAUGAAGGUCUUCGGAUCGUAAAGCCCUUUUGCAGAUGACGAGAACGGACGGCAGUCUGCGAAUAAGUCUCGGCUAACUACGUGCCAGCAGCCGCGGUAAAACGUAGGAGGCAAGCGUUAUCCGGAGUUACUGGGCGUAAAGAGUGCGUAGGCGGCAUCGUAAGUGGGACGUGAAAGCCUCUGGCUAAACUAGGGGAGGACGACUCAGACUGCGAAGCUAGAAUACAGUAGAGGACUGCGGAAUUCGGGGUGUAGCGGUGAAAUGUGUAGAGAUCCCGAGGAACACCAGAGGUGGAGACGGCGGUCUGGGCUGUGAUUGACGCUGAGGCACGAAAGCUUGGGGAGCGAACGGGAUUAGAGACCCCGGUAGUCCAAGCCGUAAACGAUGUCAACUGGGUGUCUGUGCGUCGAAAGGCGGAUGGGUGCCGAAGCGAACGCGGUAAG
rnacentral:rRNA from 1 species